rnacentral:rRNA from 1 species
GACGAACGCUGGCGGCGUGCUUAACACAUGCAAGUCGAACGGAAAGGCCCUGCUUUUGUGGGGUGCUCGAGUGGCGAACGGGUGAGUAACACGUGAGUAACCUGCCCUUGACUUUGGGAUAACUUCAGGAAACGGGGGCUAAUACAGGAUAGGAGCUCCUGCUGCAGGGUGGGGGUUGGAAAGUUGCGGCGGUUGGGGAUGGACUAGCGGCUUAUCAGCUUGUUGGUGGGGUAGUGGCUUACCAAGGCUUGGACGGGUAGCCGGCCUGAGAGGGUGACCGGCCACCUUGGGACUGAGAUACGGCCCAGACUGCUACGGGAGGCAGCAGGGGGGAAUAUUGCACAAUGGGCGGAAGCCUGAUGCAGCAACGCCGCGUUCGGGAUGACGGCCUUCUGGUUGUAAACCGCUUUCGCCUGUGACGAAGCGUGAGUGACGGUAAUGGGUAAAGAAGCACCGGCUAACUACGUG